rnacentral:lncRNA from 1 species
AAUUACUAACUAACACACGUAGAUUGGCUGUUAUGACUUGUGUUAUUGGUGGAAAUAGUGGUUCCCUCUCUCUCUGACACUCACAUUCACACACACCGAAGUGGGAGCGGUGAGUAUCAUGCAAGAAUAUAGCCUGCUGCACCACUGUCCUCUCCUCUCCUUUCCUCCUCCUCUCCUCUCCUCUCCUCUCCCUCCUGCCUGCACGGUCGGACCGUCCACCGUACAGGUGCGAGCGAGCAGCGGCUCGAGGCGGUUCGCCAAUUAGGAGCAGCGAGCGUGACCACGUGAACAAAUCCCGUUGUCUAAAUUCCCGUUCAGCGGCAGCAAGCAGCUCGGAGUGAGCUGAGAGCCACACUGAGUCGGAAGUAAUAACGGCGGGCUGAACGGGAGCGCUGUGCAGCCCUACUCCACCGGAAUGAAUCGACCCAGUGCGCGCAUGCGCACUCCCUCCACCAUUCAUCUGUAGCUGCUCCCUCUCCCUCCCGUUCCUCUCGUCUCGUGCGAGAGAAGAGAAACCAGCAGGCGGCUCCGGGCUCGCGCUCUCGCUCCCUCGCUGCCCGGUUGUCAAGGCACUGGCAGUCUGUGACUUCUGCUCGCUGCGGCAGGACGGUGACAGCUCCACUCGGCUCUCUACUCAUUCGUAGCUCGGAUUUUUCGCCCCUUUUGGAUUUCUAUGUUUUGGUGUCAGUGGCGGAGACUCUCAGCAGCUUCUUUACGAGCCCCGUGGUGAACCCUGCCAGCUCUGACGCCGAGACUCCAGACAGAUACCGUGGCUGACACUGAAAAAGAAAAGGGCAGAUAAAAAGAUAGGGAGGACUGAGGGAGGUGAGUGAAUCCAUUCUUAUCUCCCUAUCUGAAUAUCUCUGUAGUAUCUUAAACUCUGUCUGCGCUCGGUGCGUAGAGGGCUGCUGCAGGAUUCAUGGCUUAUUGUGUGCAGUGUCCCUAUCAUUCAGAAGAGGUUGGCUUGCAACCCUGCUGAGCCCAAGACAGAGUGUAUUUGUCUGCAUGAGCACAUGUAUGUGUGUUUGUUAUGGAUUUUCUAUUAGAGUGAGAGGCCAUUGGUUUUCACUUCAAACUGUUGCUAUUUUGUGCCCAGUUUUCCCAAGAAAAACAUCAGACUCCUUUUUGUCCAACAACUUGGACAGGAGAUAAAUGUUUAGAUCAAUUUUCAGACAUGUGUGAUGCAAGUACAUGUCUACGAGAGCUGCGAUGAUUAGUUGAAAAAUCAUCAUCAAUAAUUAAUCAUUUCAGUCUUUUCAAAUAUCAAACAUUUGCUGGUUCCAGCUUCUCAAAUGUAAGGAUUUGAUAUGAUAACUAAAUGAAGAGUCUUGAUUUUGGACUGAUGAUUUUAUAGACUACGCGCCUCCUUGGUUAAUUGUGAAAAAAAAUCGUAACUUUUCUAAUCCAUGGAGGUCUCCCUGUGGGUCAGACUUGGCUUUGUCUUGUGGUGUCUGGCACCAGGGCAUUGGCAACAGAUAGUGUGAGUCCUGUGGUUUAUGAGGACGGGCCUCGAACAUGUUGUGACACAUCCGAGGGAUCUUGGGGAUUUUGAGACCAUUCUGAAGUCUUGAGCUGUUUGUCACUAGGGGUGGGAAUGUCUUGGCACCUCACGAUUUGAUUCGAUUCCAAUUCUGAGGUCAACAAUUCGAUUCUAAACCGAUUAUCAUGUACAUUUCGAAGCAUGAUUUAAAAAUAUAAUAGUAAUAAUUAAAUCUGAGUUUGCUACUCAGUUUGCUAAUCACUUCCUACUUUUAUGAUGAUCAUUUAAAAAAAUCUACGGAUUGAUUAUCUUCUCUAAUAUUUUAUUAAAGAAAAGGCUUUUCUUUGUCACAAAUAGAUAUGACUUUCUAUGAACACAGAAUCUUCCUGUUACAGACAAUAAGCUUUUUCCUUAGAGAAAAACAGUAUACUGUAGCCUAUAUAAAAUUAAAAAAAGCUUUCAUUUCAACACAUUAUGGACAUAUGUAUCAGCUC